GGAUGGGAUCCGAAGCCCUAGUGAGGGAUAAUACAGGCUCUCCCAUCCAACUCCUAUUCCGACACGUCN
rnacentral:ribozyme from 1 species